GACAGAGGGUGCAAACGUUGUUCGGAAUUACUGGGCGUAAAGCGUGUGUAGGCGGCCACGUAAGUCGGAUGUGAAAGCCCUGGGCUCAACCCAGGAAGUGCACUCGAUACUGCGUGGCUUGAGUACUGGAGAGGUUGGCGGAAUUCUCGGUGUAGAGGUGAAAUUCGUAGAUAUUGGGAAGAACACCAGUGGCGAAGGCGGCUCACUGGCUCGUAACUGACGCUCAGGCGCGACAGCGUGGGGAUCAAACAGG
rnacentral:rRNA from 1 species